AGUGAACGCUGGCGGUAGGCCUAACACAUGCAAGUCGAACGGCAGCACAGUAAGAGCUUGCUCUUACGGGUGGCGAGUGGCGGACGGGUGAGGAAUACAUCGGAAUCUACUUUUUCAUGGGGGAUAACGUAGGGAAACUUACGCUAAUACCGCAUACGACCUACGGGUGAAAGCAGGGGAUCUUCGGACCUUGCGCGAUUGAAUGAGCCGAUGUCGGAUUAGCUAGUUGGCAGGGUAAAGGCCCACCAAGGCGACGAUCCGUAGCUGGUCUGAGAGGAUGAUCAGCCACACUGGAACUGAGACACGGUCCAGACUCCUACGGGAGGCAGCAGUGGGGAAUAUUGGACAAUGGGCGCAAGCCUGAUCCAGCCAUACCGCGUGGGUGAAGAAGGCCUUCGGGUUGUAAAGCCCUUUUGUUGGGAAAGAAAAGCAGCAGGUUAAUACCCCGCUGUUCUGACGGUACCCAAAGAAUAAGCACCGGCUAACUUCGUG
rnacentral:rRNA from 1 species